rnacentral:rRNA from 1 species
UACAGAGGGUGCAAGCGUUAAUCGGAAUUACUGGGCGUAAAGCGUGCGUAGACGGUUAUUUAAGUCAGGUGUGAAAGCCCCGGGCUCAACCUGGGAAUGGCAUUUGGGACUGCAAGGCUUGAGUGCGGCAGAGGAGACUGGAAUUCCUGGUGUAGCAGUGAAAUGCGUAGAUAUCAGGAGGAACACCGAUGGCGAAGGCAGGUCUCUGGGCUGACACUGACGCUCAUGCACGAAAGCGUGGGGAGCAAACAGG